rnacentral:misc_RNA from 1 species
GUUGAAGAACGUAGCGAAAUGCGAUACUUGGUGUGAAUUGCAGAAUCCCGUGAACCAUCGAGUCUUUGAACGCAAGUUGCGCCCGAAGCCAUCAGGUUGAGGGCACGUCUGCCUGGGCGUCACAUAUCGUUGUCCAAUGCCUAUUGCAGUGCAAUAGGAAUUUCUAGGGCGAAUGAUGGCUUCCCGUGAGCGUUGUUGCCUCGCGGUUGGUUGAAAAUCGAGUCCUUGGUAGGGUGUGCCAUGGUAGAUGGUGGUCGAGUUAGAACGAUACCGAUCAUGUGCAUGCUCCCCAAAAUAUGGCCUCUAUGACCCACACGCGUCUUUUGACGCUCAUGACGAGACCUCAGGUCAGGCGGGGCUACCCGCUGAAUUUAAGCAUAUCAAUAAGCGGAGGA